rnacentral:rRNA from 1 species
UCGAGGGGCAGCGAGUAGAUUGCUUGCAAUCUACGUCGGCGACCGGCGCACGGGUGCGUAACGCGUAUGCAACCUACCCAUUACAGGGGGAUAACACUGAGAAAUCGGUACUAAUACCCCAUAACAUCCAGGGAGGCAUCUUCUUGGGUUGAAAACUCCGGUGGUAAUGGAUGGGCAUGCGUUGUAUUAGUUAGUUGGUGGGGUAACGGCUCACCAAGACGACGAUACAUAGGGGGACUGAGAGGUUAACCCCCCACAUUGGUACUGAGACACGGACCAAAUUUAUACGGGAGGCAGCAGUGAGGAAUAUUGGUCAAUGGACGCAAGCCUGAACCAGCCAUGCCGCGUGCAGGAAGACGGCUCUAUGAGUUGUAAACUGCUUUUGUACGAGGGUAAACGCAGAUACGUGUAUCUGUCUGAAAGUAUCGUACGAAUAAGGAUCGGCUAACUCCGUGCCAGCAGCCGCGGUAAUACGGAGGAUUCAAGCGUUAUCCGGAUUUAUUGGGUUUAAAGGGUGCGUAGGCGGUCGGAUAAGUUAGAGGUGAAAUCCCGGGGCUCAACUUCGGAAUUGCCUCUGAUACUGUUCGGCUAGAGAGUAGUUGCGGUAGGCGGAAUGUAUGGUGUAGCGGUGAAAUGCUUAGAGAUCAUACAGAACACCGAUUGCGAAGGCAGCUUACCAAGCUACUUCUGACGUUGAGGCACGAAAGCGUGGGGAGCAAACAGGAUUAGAUACCCUGGUAGUCCACGCAGUAAACGAUGAUA